ACCCCUAGUCGUGCAAUGGGUCAGUGUGUCUGGCUGUUCACCAGAAGGCUGGUGGUUUGAGCCCACCCAGGGAUG